GGAUUUGAGAGGAAGCUUUCAGGUGUCGUUGAGGGGAUUCUAGGGUUCACAAAAUCGCACCAAAAUCUGCUCCCGUCUCUGUGGCUACUUCUCACCCUCUUCUAAUCCGAACGGUUUCACAAGUUCCUUCUCUAUCGUGAUGGGAGAUUUGGUCGAUGUAGCGGAGGCAUCUCAAUGCCCACCUGAGUUAAUUGAGAUACAUAUAAAGAGAUUGCGUUCUGAAACAUACACCUUACGUGUAGACAGAAGUAUCUCUAUCGUGGAACUGAAGGAGCGAAUUGCUGACUUAUCUGGGGUUAUUUCUGGACUGCAGCACUUGCUAUUCCGUGGAAGAGUUCUGAAUAAUGAUCACCAAUUAU